rnacentral:rRNA from 1 species
UGCCAGCCGCCGCGGUAACACGGGGGGCGCAAGCGUUAUUCGGAAUUAUUGGGCGUAAAGGGCGCGCAGGCGGUCUUGUCCGUCAGGUGUGAAAGCUCGGGGCUCAACCCCGGAAGUGCACUUGAAACAGCAAGACUUGAAUACGGUAGAGGAGAGAGGAAUUCCUGGUGUAGAGGUGAAAUUCGUAGAUAUCAGGAGGAACACCGAUGGCGAAGGCGGCUCACUGGCUCGAUACUGACGCUGAGGUGCGAAGGCGUGGGUAGCGAACGGGAUUAGAUA